GCCUUCGUGUUGUAGUGGUCAGCACGCUCGACCUGUGACCGAGAAGUCCGUGGUUCGAUUCCCGGCGAAGGCG
rfam:Stegodyphus mimosarum contig15250, whole genome shotgun sequence.